rnacentral:lncRNA from 1 species
CAAAUUCUGCCAACCCAAUAUUUUGUUGGAGUUUAAACUAAUUUAUGAAAGAAAAGUUUCAUAAUAGAUUUUAAAACCUAUUUUAUGUAUUACUUAUAAAGCUCUAAUGACAUUUAUAUAAGCAAAAGUAUUUUUACUUAUUUUAUUUUGAAAGGAUUCAAGUCCCAAAAGUUCACACUUUGGAGGAUUUGAAUUUACAAAUUUACUGAAGUUUAUUUUGACUUAUUUGGAGUUAGAAAUCAAAAGUUAUUAAUAAAAACAGAAAUGGAAAAAAAAGAAAAAGAAUAAAAGAAAAGAGAAUGGACUGACCCAGCUGGGCCGGCCCAUCUCCACUGAACGCACCAGCCCAGCCACGAGCACGAGCUCGUGCUCGUUCUUCCUGCUCUGCAUGUAAGGAAACUCUCUCCU